CAGUAGCCACGGUAAUACGUAGGUGGCAAGCGUUGUCCGGAAUUAUUGGGCGUAAAGGGCUCGCAGGCGGUUUCUUAAGUCUGAUGUGAAAGCCCCCGGCUCAACCGGGGAGGGUCAUUGGAAACUGGGAAACUUGAGUGCAGAAGAGGAGAGUGGAAUUCCACGUGUAGCGGUGAAAUGCGUAGAGAUGUGGAGGAACACCAGUGGCGAAGGCGACUCUCUGGUCUGUAACUGACGCUGAGGAGCGAAAGCGUGGGGAGCGAACAGGAUUAGAUACCCGCGUAGUCCCUGUCUCUUAUAC
rnacentral:rRNA from 1 species